CAGAAAUAGCAUAACCUUCCCAGCACGGGUGCCCCAGCCUCCAGCCAGACCACAGGCCAGCUCCUUUCUGAGACCAGAGGCCAGCACUGUUCUCAAAAGAGGGAAGGUUUUCAGCUGGCAGCGAGCUGAGCUGAGGCUGGCACGCCUCUCCUGGGUCCUGUCACGUGAAGAGGGGGAAGUCCUCCAAGGCUCCUGUGGACAGACAGCAGGGGCACUUUCCCAGCUAAAGCACGAGCUCUGGCAUAGGUCUCUGCAUCCAACUUGAAUAGACCACAUCAGCUUCUCCCCAGGUGAUAGUUCCCCCAAGCAGAAUGCACAUUGCCA
rnacentral:lncRNA from 1 species